GAGUUACUUGUUUUCUUAAAGAUAACAAUAACUCAAGAUUUGAAUUGCCAUAUCUAGAAAAUGUUUUCAUUGAAUAUGGAAUGACAAUUGAUUUGAAAAAGAAAUUAAUAUUUGAAGAAUGAACAAGAAUUGGAAAAGAAGUAAAUUGGAAACCUUCCCUUUUAGGUUCCAUGGUCUUUAAAAGAAUAGGAUUUGUCAUCAUUAACAAUUUCUCCUUUUCUUUCUUCUCUCUUUCUUGUCUUUCUCUCUUUUCUUCUUCUCUUCUCUCCUUUUCUCUUCUCUCUUCUUCUUUUCCUUUCUUUUCUUCUCUCUUUCUUUUCUUCUUCUCUCCUCUCUUCUUCUCUUCUCUCUUCUUCUUUUUUCUCUUUUUCUUCUCUCUCUCUUCUCUUCUUAUUUCCUUUCUUCCUUUUAUUUUCUUUCAAUCUCUCUUUCUCUUUUCUUAUCCUUGAUCUCUUUAAGUCUUCGCCCGAAUUCUAGUUCUCUACAAAGAAACCCAUGAUCAUUUAGACUCUCAAGAAAUAUUUUUCCAUCUUCAAUGCAAUCUCUAAUUAGUUCUAGGUUUCUUUUAAUGCUUGAAGACAAAAACUUUCUUCUCAUGCAAGAUAUUAGUUCAUACGUAUAACGAAUGGAGAACUUUCUACCUUUCCUAAAUGAUAUUGUCUUUGAUCCCACC
rnacentral:lncRNA from 1 species